AUGGCGGAACGCUUGGCUUCGAUAUUUGGUACAGAGAAAGAUAAGGUCAACUGUCCAUUUUACUUCAAGAUUGGAGCUUUUCUUCAUGGCGAUCACUGCUCUCGCAUCCAUAACAGGCCAACCAUGAACAUGUAUCAGCGCCCUGAUAUGAUUACCCCUGGUCACACGAUCCUUGGAAAUUAA
rnacentral:rRNA from 1 species